rnacentral:tRNA from 1 species
GAGGGUGUAGCUCAGUGGUAGAGCGUGUGCCUAGCAUCCACGAGGUCCUGUGUUCAAUCCCCAGCACCUGCA